rnacentral:rRNA from 1 species
UGGGGAAUUUUGGACAAUGGGCGAAAGCCUGAUCCAGCAAUGCCGCGUGUGUGAAGAAGGCCUUCGGGUUGUAAAGCACUUUUGUCCGGAAAGAAAUCCUUGGCUCUAAUACAGUCGGGGGAGUGACGGUACCGGAAGAAUAAGCACCGGCUAACUACGUGCCAGCAGCCGCGGUAAUACGUAGGGUGCAAGCGUUAAUCGGAAUUACUGGGCGUAAAGCGUGCGCAGGCGGUUUGCUAAGACCGAUGUGAAAUCCCCGGCUCAACCUGGGAACUGAUUGGUGACUGGCAGGCUAGAGUAUGGCAGAGGGGGGUAGAAUUCCACGUGUAGCAGUGAAAUGCGUAGAGAUGUGGAGGAAUACCGAUGGCGAAGGCAGCCCCCUGGCAAGUACUGACGCUCAUGCACGAAAGCGUGGGGAGCAAACNGGAUU